AGCAGGGUGAUCGAGGAGUAUGGUUUGGUGCUAAUCUACUAUUUACUACGAGUACUUAGGAUGUGGCUACGAAUUGAUGAUGCAUGUACAUAAAGAAGAUGAUCCAUCAAGGAGUUCUCGUGGAAUUCCUUAAAUUGGCUGCGGGUGCGUCCUGCAGUCCAUCAUCAAUAUUAUGCAUAUAGUCUACUAGGCUGUAACUGGGCGAAGCAGCAAGAAACCUUCCCCGGCUGUUUCAGCUGGAUGUAGUGCGUGUCCCAAAGUAAUUGGAUGGAUUCUUGAGCCUUCUAACCCCAGCCCAGCUGCUUCCACUCUUUGCUCACCCAAGUCCUCCCUUUUAGCCUACGCUUAAAAAGUCAAGUUGCUCAAAGAAGUCUAGUUAAAAAGUUGUAAUAGUAGUUUUUAGUUUACUAGAUUGCCAGCCAGCCAAUUCAAUCACUUCCAGAUACACGGAAUAUCAUCCAUCUUCUCUCCCUCUCUUAUAUAUUCAACGCCUUGCACUACCAUAUCAUGCCUUCUUUUCUACUGCUUAAUAUUACUCCGUCAAUCAUCGAUUCAUCGUCACCGGAGCGGUGUUAUCCAGAGUUCAGUCUCACCAAACCUUGAUGGAAUCAUCAUCAUACAAGGAAGGCAGAGAUGCAGCAGAGUAUAAGAGAAGAUUCCCGAGGAGAGUACUGGGGACGUGGAUAUCUUGCCUGGCUUCAUUUUCAGUAAGCAUGGUAGGCGGGCUAAUGUUGACCCAUUGGGAGCUCAGGCAUCAUCGCACCAACAGUCAACUAUGGAUGGUGCCCUUCGGCCUCAUUUUGUUGGUCACUCCCGCAAUUGUUUGGUUGUCAAUUUUCAUCUCACAUAUAUUCAGCUCCAAUGAAGGUGAAGAAGAUCAUAAAGAUGGUGGCGACCUGCACCCAGCAGUUGACACCACGGUCGUUAUAUCCUCUGAUGAUCCCGACAGAUGAUGCAUAAAAUUCAUCAAUCGGAUUUUGAUUUCGGCGGCUUUUGAAGUGUCUUCGCAGAGUCCAUUUAUCGAAACACUCAUACAAAAAACUGUGAGUUAUGAAAGGGAUUUUGAUUUCGGCGGUGAGUCCCACCUUCUCUUCCCCCCAUCACCAUCCAUCCAUCUUCCCCACACCCUCUGUCCCCCAGCAAGAGAGAGAGAGAGAGAGAGAGAGUGCAUAUCAUCAGAGGAUGGGUUGGUCUUGUUCUGUGGAAUUGUUUAAUGAGUUUGUUGCUAGUUGCUGCUACCCAAGAAAAAAAAGGGGGGGAUAAUACCUGAAGUUCGUUGGUUGUCAUGCGAUGCGGAUUAUGGCUGAUUGCUGGAAUGAUAAGUAAUACGUACUACAAAAAAAAAACAGCAGCCAACAGGAAAAGAAUCCUCUUAGAUACAGAUAAACUCCAACAUGCUCCAUGAAAAUAGGGGGAUUAAAAUUGCUACUGGCAUCUAUCGUUCUAACAAAUCGAGAUUACUCAGGGAGCAGCGGCAUUUUUAUUUACGAGAAGUAACUGAGUUGAAUAUUCGAAUAUUCAAUAAGAAGUUUUUGUAGCUUGUUCAAGUUCAA